CACGCAUGCGCAUAGACACCACGAACUGAACUGUGUUUGACUUGAAGCUGUGCAGUGCAGACCGACUAAUUCGAGAGCAGACAACUCCAAAUUCUUCCUGAUCACUUUCACGGUAGCCUGAAGCAGAACCGUUUGCUGAAAACUGUCAGUAAGAAAGAGCUGGAGACGGCGCUUGGUAAAUGGUUCACCAAUGCAAGAGACAAAGAAGGCAACCGUGCUUUGAGAGCCCAGCGGGACCAUGAUCGGAGGGCAGUACAGCCAGAAGUGUGUGCAGCCGAGGAAUCUGCAUAGACCCACCAGUGAACUAUUCUACUUUAGUAAUUCUGUUAUUCCUGUUUCCUGUUUUUUUACUUCAAUUAAUUUAAAUUAAAUGUGAUUUACACAUUCUUUCC